CCAAUAGCGUAUAUUAAAGUUGUUGCAGUUAAAAAGCUCGUAGUUGAAUUUCGGGAUCAAUAUGUUGGUCGUGCCUUGGUACGUACUAGCUUAUUGGUUUCUCCUUUCUGACGAACCAUGAUGUCAUUAAUUUGGUGUCGUGAGGAAUCAGGACUGUUACUUUGAAAAAAUUAGAGUGUUUAAAGCAGGCUCACGCUUGAAUACAUUAGCAUGGAAUAAUGAAAUAGGACGUUUGAUUCUAUUUUGUUGGUUUCUAGGAUCGAUGUAAUGAUUAAUAGGGAUAGUUGGGGGCAUUAGUAUUCAAUUGUCAGAGGUGAAAUUCUUGGAUUUAUUGAAGACUAACUACUGCGAAAGCAUUUGCCAAGGAUGUUUUCAUUAAUCAAGAACGAAAGUUAGGGGAUCGAAGACGAUCAGAUACCGUCGUAGUCUUAACCAUAAACUAUGCCGACUAGGGAUCGGAUGAUGUUAAUUUUUUAAUGACUCAUUCGGCGCCUUACG
rnacentral:rRNA from 1 species